AAGAGAGCCUGGAAUGAGAGAGGAGGCUUUUGGUCAAAUAGAAAGUUGAGGAAGAGAAGAGGAAACUGCUAAGCAGAAAGGGAUCUCCGAAGAGAAAGACUGUGUGUCAUGUUGUGAAUGCAACAUGUUCGACAGCAUUCCUGCCGAGGAAAUAUCUUCUAUGAUGGGGAUUUUAAUGGCACAGUAGAGAGAGUGCUGGACCUGGAGUCAAGAAGCCCCGAGUUCAAAUGUGCUUCAGACACUUACUAGCUGUGUGACCCUGGACAAAUCGCUUAACCUCUGUUGGCGACAGGUUCUUCAACUCUAAAACAAGGAUAAUCAUAGUACUUCCCACACAAGGCUGUUGUGACGAUCAGAUGAGAUAAUAUUCUCAAAGUACUUGGUACAGUGUCUGGCAUAUUGUAGAUAUUAAAAAAAUACGAAUUCCUUUCUUCUAUAAGAGUAAACAACCUCCUCUUCAACGUCCAUUUUCUGUUUUCUUGUCACUAUCCAUUUCAACCUUCAUCUUCUCAUGUUCUAUUCUGCCCUCCUCACAAUUCUCCCCCAUGCCUAGUGAAACUCUCAUGUCACAAUUAAAACUAUCA
rnacentral:lncRNA from 1 species